rnacentral:rRNA from 1 species
GUCCAUGGUCCAUGCCACAAGCCCAGUGUCUGAUCUUGGAAGCUAAGCAAGGUCUGGCCUGGUUAGUACUUGGAUGGGAGACCACUUAGAAAUACCAGGUGCUAUAGGCA